rnacentral:rRNA from 1 species
AGGGCACCACCAGGAGUGGAGCCUGCGGCUUAAUUUGACUCAACACGGGAAAACUCACCCGGCCCGGACACCGUAAGGAUUGACAGACUGAGAGCUCUUUCUUAAUUCGGUGGGUGGUGGUGCAUGGCCGUUCUUAGUUGGUGGAGCGAUUUGUCUGGUUAAUUCCGAUAACGAACGAGACUCUGACCUAUUAAAUAGACGGUAUAUCGAAAAGUAUAUCGCACUUCUUAGAGGGACAAGCGGCGUCUAGCCGCAUGAAAUAGAGCAAUAACAGGUCUGUGAUGCCCUUAGAUGUCCGGGGCUGCACGCGCGCUACACUGAAAGAAUCAGAGUGCGCUUUGCCUAGUUCGGAAGAACUGGGUAACCCAAGUAAAUUCUUUCGUGCUUGGGAUAGGGAAUUGCAAUUAUUUCCCUUAAACGAGGAAUUCCCAGUAAAUGCGGGUCAUAAGCUCGCGCUGAUUACGUCCCCGCCCUUUGUACACACCGCCCGUCGCUACUACCGAUUGGAUGACUUAGUGA